GCCUAUAGGACUAAUACCAGGAGUUACAAUUGAUGAAUCUGUUGACUCUGGAAGGGCAGACUCAAUACCCUGUAGCUUUUAGAGAUUGAGCCAAAGGGCAACCACUCUCUAGGCUUAGUUGAGGAAAUAUAACUUUCAGGAACCCCUCAUCCAGUGUUAAACUGCUCGAACAUUAUUUAACACUAAAUGGAGAGACAGUUCGAGAGGACUUCAGGCAAUAUAAACAAUUCAAUUAGAUGAAGUGGUUUUAGUGCCUACAGUGUCCCUUUAACAGCUUUUGACAUUCUGUGUAAGUAGCAUAAAAAUGCUCAUGUUAUUG